GGAGGAAUAUUAAUUUUUCAGGUGCAUGCGCUUUGAUUUUAUUGAGUACAAUCUAAGCAUGACAAACCCUAAAAAGUAAGUUUCUCCCCUUUAAAUCAUUCCCCUCACCUUCUUCAUCUUCUCAUCCCGAGGCAGAAAAUUACCAGUAUACAUUUUCUGUCUCCUCACUUCUCACCAUCCAUCUCUCCAUAAAACCCCAGUAAGAUUUUUACUGUUUUAUCAUCUAAUUCUCGAGAAAUAUUAUGAUUCUUGUGUUCAUACGAGUUUUCAUCUUCUUUUAGUGUAUAUCUUUGAAACCCUAGUUCAGUUGGUCAUUUUUACGAAUAUCUGUGAUAUUAUUUGCUUUCUUACUUGUUUUGUUUUCGAUUUUCUUCAUCCUUGGAUUUGAAAAUUGCAAUUGAGCUAUAUGGGUAUUACUUAUUGACGUGCGUCUGGUGUUUGAUCGAUUUUCUUUUCAAUAUUCUGAAUCAAUCUUGUAUUAGAUUGGAUAAGUUCAAGUAGGGCAUAUAAUUGCCUGUAAAAGUGUUUGAUUUUAAUGGAUUGUGUUCAUAGAAUAGGAAUAAUGAUUUGGAGAUUCCCCCCACAUUUGUGUAACCACCAACAAGACAACCACCUCCACCUCCAACUCCACUAAGCAACCAUAGCUUUUCCCUACCACAGAAAUUUAAAACAUGUUCAUAUGAUUGUCUUUUGAUCAUAUACAACAUGGGUCCGUAUCUUGUAUUUCUUUAUUCAAGUACACUUUUUUCCUUUUCAAGUGCUUGUGGUACCACUGAUACCAGAUAAGCUCACUCAGCUCCCAGUCCCAGAUCCUUUUUAAAAGCUAAAACCCACUUCCUUUUUUGAGGUUCAGUCCACAAACAUGGCUCCUCUCUGGUAUGCCUGUCUCUGCUAGUUCCAUUCAUGGUGGUUUCUGUAUACCCUUUUAAUUAUAUUAUUAGUUCAUGGUUCAGCUUUUUCUUAAAGAAGGGAAUCUUGCUGCUGGAUGAUAGGGAAACAAAUUAGGAAAGCGAUAUUGGUGAGGUUCAAUCCGAUGACGGAUUUACACAUUGAGUAUUGUAAAAGACGAUCUCAGAUUGAGCCGCGCCAAUAUCACUUUCUUCUCUACAUUAUACAUUGCUUUCCCUUUCACCUCAACAGAGUCUCAUCUCUCUGCAUCUUAUUAUACGCUUCUCAAGGGGACACCUGCAGCUCUUGGUGUUUCUGAUUCAUGGAUCUAUACACAAGGGCUAGGGUUUUGUGGUAUACAGAGAUUAGCUCGCUCACGAGAAUGUCUAUUCUUUGCCGUUCCUUCUCUACCUUCACAUCCUUUGCAUAUGGAAGGCUACCUCAAAAUCACUUCAGGCUUUCUAUUCUCAGAUUGAAUGGUUCUUAUUUUGAGGUGGAAGUUUCAAUGAUGGCCAGCGUAGGGGAGCUUAAGAAAGCAGUGGAGGAUGUUUUCAGCUAUUCAACAGAGGAUGAUAAUUCUCAUCACAAUAUCUCAUGGUCACAUGUAUGGAGCCAAUUUUGCUUAUGUUAUGGAGAUCAAAAGCUAGUGGAUGACAAUACAUAUAUUCGAUCUUUAGGCAUCAAGGAUGGUGAUCAACUUUAUUUCAUCAGGGAUUUAACAAUAACAAACUGUACUGAAGCCAACCGACAAGCAAAGGAACAAUAUGAUGGUUGUGGACAGUACUCCAUGAUUGCAAAUGACUAAUAAAAGGCUUCAAGUGAUUAAUAUAGUACAAAUCACUUGCAGUUAUGUAUAUUUCUUGCAUAUGCAGGAGACAAGAAAGUUUAAGUGCCAAUGCAUGCCUACAGGGGACCAAGUCUUUUUCUGGACAAUUCUUGAGAAGGAUAAGCUCAUAAUACAUAUGUUGUUUUCAGCUAUAUUAUCUUUCUGGGAUUUGAUCCAGUUCUGUAUUAAAAUGAAAGAUUCUGUUUUUUCAACAAUUUUAUAAACAUCCUCUAAUUUCCAGAAUCC